rnacentral:rRNA from 1 species
GUCUACGGCCAUGACACCCUGAACAAGCCUGAUGUCUGAUCUUGGAAGCUAAGCAGGGUCAGGCCUGAUUAGUACUUGGAUGGGAGGUCACCUAGGAACACCAGGUGCUGUAGGCA